rnacentral:rRNA from 1 species
UACAGAGGGGGCAAGCGUUAUUCGGAAUUAUUGGGCGUAAAGGGCGCGUAGGCGGCUUGGCAAGUGGAUGGUGAAAUCCCUCGGCUUAACCGAGGAACUGCCGUCCAAACUGCUUUGCUUGAGGCCGGGAGAGGUGAGUGGAAUUCCCAGUGUAGCGGUGAAAUGCGUAGAUAUUGGGAGGAACACCAGUGGCGAAGGCGGCUCGCUGGACCGGUUCUGACGCUGAUGCGCGAAAGCGUGGGGAGCAAACGGG